rnacentral:lncRNA from 1 species
CAUGCAAAGUGGUGCACCUCCAACUGGCUAGUUAUAACUCAUCUCCAUGGCUUUUUAUUUGCAGAUGGUUUGUGAAUGAACAGGUCAAUCCACACACAACUCAACCAACUGCAUUUCUUGGAUGCUGCUGUGAGGUGUGCUGCAGACUGUGGCAGAAGAAACACAGAAUAACUAAGUGAACUGCGAUAAACAGUCAAAUAUCUCCUGCUACGAGAGAUACCAAAACGUAUUUUGGGGUGAGCAAGGAGACGGGGAUAUACGAUUAACACCACCUUACACAUCCAUUCCCGCUCAAGGAUCCAACGGUUCUCAGUUGGGUAUUGUCUUGGCUUUGCUGAAGUGUUUCCGAACUGCAAGCAUUGGAAAACACUGCUCUCUUGUGGUUGAAGCGAGAAAAUAACAGAUGGAAAAGACAAAAGGGUUUUUCUGUUUUUUCUCUUCAAUGCUAGAUUUACUACUAUCAACUUAAAUGCAGUACAAAAUGUAGUGUUACUUGUUUGAGAAUAUUCUCAAUAUAUUUUGGAAUUCCUAAUAUUUAAAUUUAAUAUUUUUUUCUUUGUUACCACGGAC